AAAACUUAAGAAAGAAUAAAUAUUCUAUUAAUUU
rnacentral:tRNA from 2 species